AACGUUGGAAACAGSGGUUAGGAGCUUACACCCACCCGUGKCUACAUACUAUUGUUGCUUUGGCGGGCCGUGGCCUCCACUGCGGGCUCUGCUCGUGUGUGCCCGCCAGAGAACCAAACUCUGAAUGUUAGUGAUGUCUGAGUACUAUCUAAUAGUUAAAACUUUCAACAACGGAUCUCUUGGUUCUGGCAUCGAUGAAGAACGCAGCGAAAUGCGAUAAGUAAUGUGAAUUGCAGAAUUCAGUGAAUCAUCGAAUCUUUGAACGCACAUUGCGCCCUGUGGUAUUCCGCAGGGCAUGCCUGUUCGAGCGUCAUUUAACCACUCACGCCUAGCGUGGUAUUGGGGCACGCGGUCUCCGCGGCCCUCAAAAUUAGUGGCGGCGCCGGUGGGCUCUAAGCGUAKUACAUACUCCCGCUAUAGAGUUCCCCCGGUGGCUCGCCAGAACCCCCAAUUUUUACAGGUUGACCUCGGAUCAGGUAGGGAUACCCGCUGAACUUAA
rnacentral:rRNA from 1 species